GUGAAGGGGAGAGAAGAGACAAGCGCUCUAGUAAUUCUCUUCCGGAAUCUGCAGCUUUGUGACAGCAGUGGGCGGAAAUCCAGCUUGAGGUCUUACGCGUUUCGUGACAGCGCACUUCCUCAGAGACCUCUUGACCUUUUGAAAAGGUAAGUUCAUUUUGUAGGCAUGCAGCUAAGAAUUAUUUAACAUAUACAUGUUUUCCUUUCCAGAAUUUUGAAAAUUUUCCAUAAAAACAACUUAAGUAUGCUUCCUAAUCUACCAUCUUAUUGCACACUAAUGGUUUAGCUCAGUGAACAGAGCUUAAGCUAAACACAUGUUUUUGAUAUUUUAAUAAAGAAACAUGUAUUAUUUAUUGUAUUAAACACUAUAUUACUUUCAUUUUCUAAGUAACUGUUGUUCCGAGUUGUAAAACAAAUGACCAUUUUUAGGCUUUUGAUGCAUAUUAAAAUACAAUAUAAAGUUGCAUGUAGUUGUGUGGGUCAAAAUAUAAUGAGACGUACAUUGUGCCCCCCCAUAAAAAAAAAAGUUUGCAGAAUUAUCCCACUCAACUCCCUCAGGUUGUUUUUGUACAACAACACUGUAAAUGUCAUUGGGGAGAAAGAUUCCAGGGGAGGAAACAAUUGCAGCAAAUCUUGCUUGUUAUUUUUCAUAGACAGUGCAGCCUUCUCCAAGGGUAUACUGAGCUUUUAACAUUCCUAACUUGAGAUAACUAAAGAAGUAAAUUCAUCCAUUACCAUUUAAUCUCUUCAAGGGUUAUAACUGGUAUUGUUGAUGCUAUAAUCUUCCCCAGCCUAACUUUGUGGGUAGCACUGCUGCUUUGCAGUUCCACAGUGCAAAAACAUACUGGCAUAUUAGUUGGUUCCUUAUAAAAUUAACCCUACUGUGUGGAAAUGUGAUGGAGACCUUAGUCUGUAUUCUCCUCUAGGGCAAGGAAUGCCGUGAAUGAUAUAUAAAAUGUAGUACUCCAAACAAAAAGCAGAUUUUUAUUUCCUGGUAUUUAUAUAGAUAUAUACUCAGUUGUUAAAUAAUCAGUUUAGGCUUGCCACUUUGUGAUUGUGAAUAAAGCAUUAAUUCUGUGUUGGUGUAUGCCUCUUUGUCCUGGGUUAUACAAUGAAAUACUUUUUUGUUUUCCAUAUUCUCCCUUUUUGUGAUGUCUCAUACAACUUUCCACGCAAGUAUUCAAAACCAUGCAACAUGCUUGAUUGCAUGUAGGUUGUUGCUAAGCUAGGUCAGAGGAAGCAGGCUAAGCCACAUGCCAAGUAUUUUAUCAUCUACUGCUAUGAAGCUUAACCAGUUUAGUAGAAACUGGGGUGGUGGUGACUGCCGCAGUCUUGGCUUUUCCAAGUUUAAUGCUUGGAGACCUGCACUAGACAGGCAAAAAUAAUUGGGCAUGACCUCAUGAGUGCACCAUACAAGGUUUGACUUGGUCUGGAGUAAGUUACUAAAGCGUAGGUCUGUAUUUCUGUCUAGUGCCUCCCUACACAACCAGACCUCUGAACUCCCUCCCCCUAUUGGUGACCUUAAUAUGUGCAGUGUAGUUUGUGUACUGUACAUGCACUGAUCAGGAAAGGAACAGGUACCCCUCUCCCCGCCUUAGCUUUGCCAGUGGAUGUACCCACAAGUGCCUAUAUAUUAAAAAGGCACAGCUGAGGAGCGUACCCUUAUUUACUCCUUGAAACCCCUAAAUAUUUAAAACUGUUGACCUCUGGCUUAAGGGUAAGGAUAAGUUACUAUUUCAUAGUAUAAUAUUAAAAAAAAAACUUUUGCUAUCUUUGUUUUGCCGUGUUCUUGGUUUAUAUUUUUAUUAUGAAUAUAAUGUUUCCUUUUACAGCAAAUAGCUGACCUGAAAAAAGAGAACUUCAGCUUAAAACUACGUAUAUAUUUCUUGGAGGAACAAGUGCAGCAGAAGUGUGACAGCAGCAAUGAAGAUUUGUAUAGAAUGGUAGUUCAUUCUUUUUUCCUUUUUGUUUAGUAGUUUGAAAACUGUUUGUACUUUUUAUAAAUUUAUUGGCCAUUCUGAAUUCUAAAAAGCACAACAUUUAGUUCAGUAAGCCAAAAAAGUAUGUCUGCAAUACCUUGUUGCAGUUUUUUAAACCCUGAUUAGUUAAUAGAUAUAACAUUUAGAAGUGGAUUCAUAACCAAACCAUGGUAUUUUACUUAUUUUGGCGGAUGGCGUUUGGUUGUGCUUACAUAUAGAGUAAGUAUAGUAAAAAAAACAUGCACCUCUGUCAUUAAAGUUACUUCCACGAUCGACCUAAA